rnacentral:rRNA from 1 species
AAAAAAUAUCAAUGCUGGAUACUAUGUAUUUAGUAAUUGGAAUGAGUACAAUUUAAAUCCCUUAACAAGUAACAAUUAGAGGGCAAGUCUGGUGCCAGCAGCCGCGGUAAUUCCAGCUCUAAUAGCGUAUAUUAAUAUUGUUGCAGUUAAAAAGCUCGUAGUUGAAAUUUGGAACUUUAUUAUAUUGGUUUACCUUUUGGUGAACUAUAUGAUGGGUUUCUUCCUACUAGAGUUCGAUUCUGUUCUUAACUGAAUGGAGUAGCUAUCUCUCGGGGUAGUCAAUUGGUUAUUAUAUCUCCACUAAUGAGCAGAGAGGAGUAAAAUCUUCAAAGUAAGUUAUGUGGGUCAAGGUAUGAUGAUUAAUUGGAGUUCUAGUUCAUUUACUUUGAGAAAAUUAGAGUGUUCAAAGCAUGAUUCACAUUUGAAUAAUACAGCAUGGGAUAAUAUAAUAUGACAUUAGUUAAAAUUUGUUGGUUUCUUUGGCUAAUGUAAUGAUUAAAAGGGAC